rnacentral:rRNA from 1 species
GAUGAACGCUAGCGGCAGGCUUAACACAUGCAAGUCGAGGGGUAACGGGGAGAGCUUGCUUUCUGCUGACGACCGGCGCACGGGUGCGUAACGCGUAUACAAUCUACCUUAUACUGGGGUAUAGCCUUUAGAAAUGAAGAUUAAUCCCCCAUAGUCUCUUUUUGUGGCAUCACUAAAGGAGUAAAGGUUACGGUAUAAGAUGAGUAUGCGUUCUAUUAGUUUGUUGGUGUGGUAACGGCACACCAAGACUACGAUAGAUAGGGGCCCUGAGAGGGGGAUCCCCCACACUGGUACUGAGACACGGACCAGACUCCUACGGGAGGCAGCAGUGAGGAAUAUUGGACAAUGGAGGCAACUCUGAUCCAGCCAUGCCGCGUGUAGGAUGACUGCCCUAUGGGUUGUAAACUACUUUUAUACAGGAAGAAACACCUCUACGUGUAGAGGCUUGACGGUACUGUAAGAAUAAGGAUCGGCUAACUCCGUG